rnacentral:rRNA from 1 species
UACGGAGGAUGCGAGCGUUAUCCGGAUUUAUUGGGUUUAAAGGGUGCGUAGGCGGGCUUUUAAGUCAGCGGUAAAAAUUCGGGGCUCAACCCCGUCCGGCCGUUGAAACUGACGGUCUUGAGUGGGCGAGAAGUAUGCGGAAUGCGUGGUGUAGCGGUGAAAUGCAUAGAUAUCACGCAGAACUCCGGUUGCGAAGGCAGCAUACCGGCGCCCAACUGACGCUGAAGCACGAAAGCGUGGGGAGCAAACAGG